rnacentral:rRNA from 1 species
GACGAACGCUGGCGGCGUGCUUAACACAUGCAAGUCGAACGGAAAGGCCCUGCUUUUGUGGGGUGCUCGAGUGGCGAACGGGUGAGUAACACGUGAGUAACCUGCCCUUGACUUUGGGAUAACUUCAGGAAACUGGGGCUAAUACCGGAUAGGAGCUCCUGCUGCAUGGUGGGGGUUGGAAAGUUUCGGCGGUUGGGGAUGGACUCGCGGCUUAUCAGCUUGUUGGUGGGGUAGUGGCUUACCAAGGCUUUGACGGGUAGCCGGCCUGAGAGGGUGACCGGCCACAGUGGGACUGAGAUACGGCCCAGACUCCUACGGGAGGCAGCAGUGGGGAAUAUUGCACAAGGGGCGGAAGCCUGAUGCAGCAACGCCGCGUGCGGGAUGACGGCCUUCGGGUUGUAAACCGCUUUCGCCUGUGACGAAGCGUGAGUGACGGUAAUGGGUAAAGAAGCACCGGCUAACUACGUGC